rnacentral:rRNA from 1 species
GACGAACGCUGGCGGCGUGCUUAACACAUGCAAGUCGAACGGAAAGGCCCUGCUUUUGUGGGGUGCUCGAGUGGCGAACGGGUGAGUAACACGUGAGUAACCUGCCCUUGACUUUGGGAUAACUUCAGGAAACUGGGGCUAAUACCGGAUAGGAGCUCCUGCUGCAUGGUGGGGGUUGGAAAGUUUCGGCGGUUGGGGAUGGACUCGCGGCUUAUCAGCUUGUUGGUGGGGUAGUGUCUUACCAAGGCUUUGACGGGUAGCCGGCCUGAGAGGGUGACCGGCCACAUUGGGACUGAGAUACGGCCCAGACUCCUACGGGAGGCAGCAGUGGGGAAUAUUGCACAAUGGGCGGAAGCCUGAUGCAGCAACGCCGCGUGCGGGAUGACGGCCUUCGGGUUGUAAACCGCUUUCGCCUGUGACGAAGCGUGAGUGGCGGUAAUGGGUAAAGAAGCACCGGCUAACUACGUG